rnacentral:lncRNA from 1 species
GAUGGGAUUUCAGCUCCGGGGGCAGAGCGAGAGGACGUGCAUUAAAAGUCGGCUCCGAAAGGGACGGGAUCCCCAUUUCUCGGCGGCGGCCGCGCUCGCAUCGCUGCCUCUGUUCUCCCAGUUUACGGCUUUUUCCCAGUAA